UACGGGGGGAGCAAGCGUUGUUCGGAAUCAUUGGGCGUAAAGGGUGCGUAGGUGGCGCCGUAAGUCAGGUGUGAAAUUUCGGAGCUUAACUCCGAAACUGCAUUUGAUACUGCGGUGCUUGAGGACUGGAGAGGAGACUGGAAUUUACGGUGUAGCAGUGAAAUGCGUAGAGAUCGUAAGGAAGACCAGUGGCGAAGGCGGGUCUCUGGACAGUUCCUGACACUGAGGCACGAAGGCCAGGGGAGCAAACGGG
rnacentral:rRNA from 1 species